rnacentral:lncRNA from 1 species
GUUAAGUAGGUAUAGACAACCUUGCUUGCUAUAGAUUUAAAUAAGACAGUCUGUGCCAGCUUUCCAGCUGCAGUGUCUAGCAGCUGCAUGGACAGCUUUUGCUUUUCUCUGGUAACUGACUGGUAUCUAUAUGUACUUUCUGUUUGAAAGAAGACAAUAACAAUGAUAAACACUGGACUUUGUGCUAUCGUUGACAGUAACAGUCAUUCUUUUCAUGUGCAGCAUAUCCUGCUCCUCUAACAAGUGUCAGAGGCAGGAGACCGCUUUUCGGAGAAAUAGGACAUACUAUUAUGAACUUACUUGUUGAUCUUCGAAAUUACCAGUAUACAUUGCAUAACAUCGAUCAGCUGUUAAUCCAUAUGGAAAUGGGGAAAAGCUGUAUAAAGAUACCUCGGAAAAAGUACAGUGAUGUAUUGAAGGUAAUAAAUUCUUCUAACGAGCACGUCAUCAGUAUUGGGGCUAGUUUUAGUACAGAAGCAGAUUCUCAUCUGGUCUGUGUACAGAGUGAUGGAGUUUAUCAGACUCAGGCCAACAGUGCCACUGGUCAGCCAAGGAAAGUGACAGGUGCAAGUUUUGUGGUGUUCAAUGGUGCUCUGAAAACAUCUUCA